rnacentral:rRNA from 1 species
AUGGCCUCCUCCCGCAAAAAUCUGGAGCUCCCCUGUCGACGGACGGAGGUGGGGAACGAUGGGGCAAGUGGGCUGCGGGGGGCGCCGGAACUGGCCAUAGUGGGCGCGGCGCGCGUGGCCAGAGUCGAGCUCGAGCUUGAGGUGAGCCCGCGAGAUCCCAUGGAGGGAGAUUCACUCUUCGCUGACGAGAAGACGCCGUCGGGGAGGACUCCAUCGCUUCUCCCCCGCGCGGACGCGUCCAUGCCGCUAUCCCAGGCAGCUCAUCGCCGGGCCUCCACCUCCACUCUCCUCCGCAGCGCACGCCGGAAUCGCCGCUGCCUCCGCCGGGAUUUUGCUCCUGAUCUGUGGGAGUGUGGGGAAUGGAUGAGGUGA